GGGGAAUAUUGCACAAUGGGCGAAAGCCUGAUGCAGCAACGCCGCGUGAGUGAUGAAGGCCUUCGGGUUGUAAAGCUCUGUCUUCUGGGACGAUAAUGACGGUACCAGAGGAGGAAGCCACGGCUAACUACGUGCCAGCAGCCGCGGUAAUACGUAGGUGGCAAGCGUUGUCCGGAUUUACCGGGCGUAAAGGAUGCGUAGGCGGAUACUUAAGUCAGAUGUGAAAAUCCCGGGCUUAACUUGGGAACUGCAUUUGAAACUGGGUAUCUAGAGUGCGGGAGAGGAAAGUGGAAUUCCUAGUGUAGCGGUGAAAUGCGUAGAGAUUAGGAAGAACACCAGUGGCGAAGGCGACUUUCUGGACCGUAACUGACGCUGAGGCAUGAAAGCGUGGGGAGCAAACA
rnacentral:rRNA from 1 species